CUACGGGAGGCAGCAGUAGGGAAUAUUGCUCAAUGGGCGAAAGCCUGAAGCAGCAACGCCGCGUGUGCGAAGAAGGCCUUCGGGUCGUAAAGCACUUUUCUGAGAGAUGAGAAAGGACAGUAUCUCAGGAAUAAGUCUCGGCUAACUACGUGCCAGCAGCCGCGGUAAAACGUAGGAGGCAAGCGUUAUCCGGAUUCACUGGGCGUAAAGCGCGUGCAGGCGGUUCGGUAAGUUGGGCGUGAAAUCUCCUGGCUUAACUAGGAGAGGUCGUUCAAUACUACCGGGCUAGAGAGUGGUAGAGGAAGAUGGAAUAUCCGGUGUAGUGGUGAAAUGCGUAGAUAUCGGGAGGAACACCAGUGGCGAAAGCGAUCUUCUGGACCAUUUCUGACGCUCAGACGCGAAAGCUAGGGUAGUAAACGGGAUUAGAUACCCUAGU
rnacentral:rRNA from 1 species